rnacentral:lncRNA from 1 species
GGGCUGCUCCGGCGUCUUCAGAUCUGCUGGUGCGUCGAGCUGCAGCGGAGAUGGAGGAGAGAGGGUGACGGUGGCGCGGGUGAUGGUGCGGGUGGACGGCGAGCAGCUCGGCGGCGUGAAGCGGCGGCGGAUCUCGCUCCGGCGGUGGCUGCGACGGUUGCUGUUGCUCCGGUGACGUCCAAAGAAGAAGAAGAUGGAGAUGGAGGAGUCGCACGGGAGAGAGGAAGAAGAGAGGGAGGAGAGAGAAGGAGG